GGCCAGACUCCUACGGGAGGCAGCAGUAGGGAAUUUUGCGCAAUGGGGGAAACCCUGACGCAGCAACGCCGCGUGAUUGAUGAAGCCCUUCGGGGUGUAAAGAUCUGUCAGUGGGGACGAAACUUGACGGUACCCACAGAGGAAGCAUCGGCUAACUCCGUGCCAGCAGCCGCGGUAAUACGGAGGAUGCGAGCGUUAUCCGGAUUUAUUGGGUUUAAAGGGUGCGUAGGCGGAAUAUCAAGUCAGCGGUAAAAAUUCGGGGCUCAACCCCGUCGUGCCGUUGAAACUGAUGUUCUUGAGUGGGCGAGAAGUAUGCGGAAUGCGUGGUGUAGCGGUGAAAUGCAUAGAUAUCACGCAGAACUCCGAUUGCGAAGGCAGCAUACCGGCGCCCAACUGACGCUGAAGCACGAAAGCGUGGGGAGCAAACAGGAUUAGAUACCCUAGUAGA
rnacentral:rRNA from 1 species